AAGUCUAUCUGUCUAAUGAGUAUCACUAUUCCAGUAUUCGCAUCCCAAUUCCUUCAUGGUGUUGCCUCUAGUAUUGCCUCUCUCCGUCUCUCGUCUCGUCUCGUCCUCUUCGCCCCUAAUUUCAGUUAAUUUCUCAGAUCUCAAAUCCCAAUUCCUCUAGUCUUGCGUCUCUCCAUCUCUUGUAUUGUCCUCUCCGCAUCUCUCCGUCUCAAUCUCUGGCCUCCGCGUCUCACGGUCUCACAUCGACGACUCUGUUCUUCAAUCUCGAUGGCCCGACCUCUCUUCCGAGUUUCGACUUCAGGUAAACAUAUAUGGCAUACUACUAAUGUUCAAUCCCUUCCUCACACUUAUGGAUCUGGAAACAAGACAUGUAAAUUUGAAAACAUGACGUGUUUCCUUGGAUCAAGUUGGUGAUUUUUGAAAUUGGGUCUUGAUUAUUUCUUGCAAUUUUGGUGCAUAUCUGGUUGCCCGGUUCAGAAAAUUGAAGAAAUCGACGUACUUGUGACUUUCUGUUGUUGAUUGUAAUUUAUAAUGUUGUAAUCUAUUUAGUGUUAAGUGUUAGGGUAUGGAAGCCUUUUAUUUCGGUUAUUUAUCGAAUAAUUGAAUUAUAAAUUCGAUUAUUCGGUAAUUUGGUUAUUAGCUAAUUCGGUUAACAGUUCGGAUACUAAAAAUGCGUUAAUUUUGAUUUUCGGUUAUAACCGAAUAAUUUAUUCGGUUCGAUUAUAAUUGAAUGCUCACUCCUACUUUAAGGCGCACUGGAAAAAAAAUUAUUUUAUAAUAUAUGAUAAAUUUAGAAGAAAUUUUAGUGUAAUGAAUAAAUUAGUCCCACUGAAAUUUUAUAAAAUUUUUAAUAUACGGGGUCAAAUUGAAUUUUUUAUAACUUUCUCAAUUUCAUGUCUUAUGUAUGCAUCUUUCUCUAAUAUUUUUAGAAGAAAUAAUAAUCUAAUUUAUAUUAUUUUUAUAACAUAACAAAUUUAAAUAUUUAUUAACAAAUUUGUGAUUAGAAAGACGUAUUAGGGAUCAAUAAGGGGUGUGCUUGUGUGUGUGUGUAUAUAUAUAUAUAUAUAUAUAUAUAUAUAUAAUAUAAUAUAAUAUAAUAUAAGAGUAGUGUGGUGCAGUUUGAGAAGUUCAAGAGCCUCUCUAAAAUUAUCACAUACGCGAAAUUGUUGGUGGGAUUCAAUUAAUACGAUUUGAUUGAUUUUUUGAUGUAGUUUCCAGACUAAUUUCGAUUUUGAAUAAUAGUGCCCAACGCUGUAGAGAGAGAUGUGGAUUAUGGAACAACUUAAUAUAUUAAUUCAUGCAUAUAAGAUUUUGGGUGGGGAAAAAGGAGAGUGGAUAUUUUAUCGGGUUUCAGGAGUGUUGAUUCUAAAGAGAGAUAUAAGGAUUAUAUGGAGACUGAAGUGUCAUUUUGUGAAAACAUAAUGUUUCUCUAGUGGAUAGUUGUUAGCCCCUUGGUGGAUUGAUACGGGCUUGACAUGCGGGACGCUCAGAUAAUAUGUCAAGUUUUGAUACUCGUUUAUGGGACAAGGCGUGUUUGUACGACAGUGUGCGGCAGCCAAGAGCGUUGUGUAAGAUUCCAACUUAUUAUGAAUAAAAUUAAAUUUUUUUUAUUUAUUAUCUUGAAAUAAUAAGGAGUUAAUUUGAUAUAAUAUUUUGGUUAUGGGNNNNNNNNNNNNNNNNNNNNNNNNNNNNNNNNNNNNNNNNNNNNNNNNNNNNNNNNNNNNNNNNNNNNNNNNNNNNNNNNNNNNNNNNNNNNNNNNNNNNAAUAUUUGUUUGUGGGUUAUGAGCCCACCAGGCUUCCAGAUUUGUUGAUUAAAUGUUCUCACAAAUAGAAUAUAUUAAAUGGAAACUGAUAUUAGCAAAAUGAAAAUUAAUAUUUUCAUGUGUUUUUAAUAUUUUCAGAUGUGUUUUUGAUAUUUUUACAUUUUUAUCUCAUAUGAGAAGAAAGUAGGUUUCACCGACAUGUGAGAUGGGAUCAUAUAAAAAUAUCAAAAACUUAUGUACAAAUAAUGUUCCCCUAACAAAAUAACAUCAAAUGACAAGUUUUAUAUUUGAAAUAUAUUAUUCAUGAAUGUUUCCAAGGGUGAAGAAGUCGCCCUUUAGGGUAGAAACGAAUAAAAAAUGGAUAAAAUCGAAUUAUCUAAUACAACCGAAUUAUUUUAAUUUUUUUUUAGUUUCAGUUAUAUUCGAAUUUUUGAUCGGUAAUCGGUUUUAGAUUCGAUUUAAAAAAAUAGGCUAUUCGAAAUACCUGAAAAAUUGAAAUUAUUAAUUAAAAAAUAAAAAUUUUAUAAUUAUAUCUGAAUGAUAGUACAAGUCUAUCUGUCUAAUGAGUAUCACUAUUCCAGUAUUCGCAUCCCAAUUCCUUCAUGGUGUUGCCUCUAGUAUUGCCUCUCUCCGUCUCUCGUCUCGUCUCGUCCUCUUCGCCCCUAAUUUCAGUUAAUUUCUCAGAUCUCAAAUCCCAAUUCCUCUAGUCUUGCGUCUCUCCAUCUCUUGUAUUGUCCUCUCCGCAUCUCUCCGUCUCAAUCUCUGGCCUCCGCGUCUCACGGUCUCACAUCGACGACUCUGUUCUUCAAUCUCGAUGGCCCGACCUCUCUUCCGAGUUUCGACUUCAGGUAAACAUAUAUGGCAUACUACUAAUGUUCAAUCCCUUCCUCACACUUAUGGAUCUGGAAACAAGACAUGUAAAUUUGAAAACAUGACGUGUUUCCUUGGAUCAAGUUGGUGAUUUUUGAAAUUGGGUCUUGAUUAUUUCUUGCAAUUUUGGUGCAUAUCUGGUUGCCCGGUUCAGAAAAUUGAAGAAAUCGACGUACUUGUGACUUUCUGUUGUUGAUUGUAAUUUAUAAUGUUGUAAUCUAUUUAGUGUUAAGUGUUAGGGUAUGGAAGCCUUUUAUUUCGGUUAUUUAUCGAAUAAUUGAAUUAUAAAUUCGAUUAUUCGGUAAUUUGGUUAUUAGCUAAUUCGGUUAACAGUUCGGAUACUAAAAAUGCGUUAAUUUUGAUUUUCGGUUAUAACCGAAUAAUUUAUUCGGUUCGAUUAUAAUUGAAUGCUCACUCCUACUUUAAGGCGCACUGGAAAAAAAAUUAUUUUAUAAUAUAUGAUAAAUUUAGAAGAAAUUUUAGUGUAAUGAAUAAAUUAGUCCCACUGAAAUUUUAUAAAAUUUUUAAUAUACGGGGUCAAAUUGAAUUUUUUAUAACUUUCUCAA
rnacentral:lncRNA from 1 species